rnacentral:misc_RNA from 1 species
AAAAAAUCCUGCCUAAUAUUUGCUUAAUAUAGAUCAUAUAUUAAUGAAGCUUUCAAAAGGAAGUUGGUUGAUCUCAUCUUUUUAUUACUCAGCUGCAUCCAUUAAUGGGUACCAAAAUACAUUCUCAUAUAAUAAGUUUGAUGGAAUACAGCGAACAUGAUCUACUCUCUCUACCCAUGCUAAUAAGCUAUUAUACCCGAAUUAUUUGUCCGACAUUUAAGAGAUUUUCAUGAGGAACAUUGAACACUGCACUGUUUCCUCUGCAGAUCUUCCUAAGAAAAGCAUAUAUAUAAUCAAUGGCUACCUUCUUAUAGAACUUUGACUCCCUGCUUGUUGUUACUACUGUAUUCCCCAAUAUGUGUACUACCCCAGUAUCUCGACAGUUACUCAAAAACUCUAACUCGUCAAUUUCAACUGGGCUGCUCACCUGACUGGCUGACCUGAUGGCAUCAAGGGGCACUAUGGAAUCUCCAGAUGAAAUUGUUGCAUUCAUAGUGGAUGAAGCUUUGUUGCCAUUGUCAUUCAUGUCUCUUGACUGCUCAGUUUGUUGGCCAUUUAAACUAUAGUCAUCUGAGUCUGAACACCCAUCCAUCAUGGAUUCCAGCCGGAUAAACAUGAAAAGACUGUCAAAGAGCCUCUUCUCAAAUUUUUCGUCUUUCCUGUGGAGGUCUUUAUAUCCAUACCUUGCAACACAACGGAACAUUCGGAAAUUCCUUGGUCCUAUUCGCUUUAUGAGGAAUCUCUCAUCUUCAGGGACUGUAUAGACUGGCAGGUACUUCACGCAGACAAAAACAACCACAGAGUGGAUAGCAGGUAGGUUGGUGAUGAAGUGGGAAAAGAUGUGAGGCACCCCUCUGGCUAGCUCAGUGUACACUAGUCCUAUUCCAGGGACCCGAACAAGUCCUAAACUGGGACCAAGCCCAAGAACCCAUGCCAUUGAAACCUUACUAUGCAUCUCAAACUCAUAGCGCUUCAUGGUACCAUAGUGCCACGCAUACAUGAUAACAAAAAAUGCUGCUGCAAUCACCAGAGGAACCCAACCACCUUGAUUAACCUUACAGAGUACAGAAGAAAAAUAAGUGCCCUCCACUAUCAAUGACAAACCAGUGAAAAUCACAACAAUAAUCCAAUGGCACCGCCAUACUAAUAGCAUGAUUAGAAUCAUAAGCAAUGUGGUCACCAGCAUGACUAUCACAACUGCUGUCCCAGAAGCAUUCCCAAUUUGGCUUUGAUUUUUAAACCCAGCUGUCACUGCAACACAAAGAAUCAUAAGAAUCCAAUUUAUGUCUGGAAUGUAUAUCUGGCUUAGGAACUUUUCUGAUGUAUGGACAAUUUUAACCCUUGGAAAACAGUCCAGGGCAAGAGCUUGCUUGAUUAAUGAAAAAGUUGCAGAUAUAGUGGCUUGACUUGCAACAACAGCAGCAGCAGUAGCAACAAUAAGUACUGGCCAAUAUAUGCUAUCUGGAAUAGAACGAUAAAAUGCAUCAACUACAUGAUUUGGAUUUUUCAAGAGGUAUGCAGCUUGUCCAGAAUAGGCAAAAAUAAGGCAUGGAAAAACAAUUGCUGUGAAUGCAAUCUGUAUCGAUAAUACUGGAAAAUGGGACAGGUCAGCAAAAAGGGCCUCUGUUCCUGUUAUGCUAAGCAUAAUACCUCCAAGAGAGAGCCAACCAUCUUUCCCUCCUUUUUUAAAGUAUCGAUAUAUAUACACAGGAGAAAAAGCUUUCAACACUUCUUUGUCAUAUUUCAAAAUGUUGAAUAUGCCAAUACCUCCAAUCAAGAGAAACCAGAGGAGCACAAUUGGGGCAAAGAGCCAACCAACCCUAUCUAUACCCUGGUGUUGCAUACAAAACAGGCCUACUAAUAUCACAACAGCGACAAAUACAACUAUAUCACUAGUCAUCUUGGGAUGGUCUAAUUUUAUUCCUUGCACUGCCGAUAGCACUGAUAUAGCUGGCGUGAGAAUUCCAUCCCCAAUAACCAUGGAGGAGCCAACAAGAACAAGUAAAAGAAGUGCAUUCUUCCUGAAAGAGUGUCCUUCCAACCAUCUCUUUGUCUUUGCAGCAAAUGAUUUUUCAUAAAUUGUAGAACGGCUAUAAGUUGUUAGCUGUUCAUCUGUAUGAUCUUGGUUAGGGAUAGUCUUUACAUUAGCGUGCCGACAAAGUAGUGAAUAAAGUGCAAAUGUUCCACCUUGACCAUUGUCAUUUGCUCUACAAACAAUUAAAAUAUACUUCAAGAGUGGAAUAAAUGUGAGGGAAUAUAUAAUCAACGACAGAGCUCCAAUCACAUCUUCUGGAUCUUUGAUUCCAUCAGGAAAUGUAUUGUAGAAGACAUACAAGGGCGAAGCGCCUAGAUCUCCAUAGACCACUCCAAGGCUUUGGAAUGCGAGGCACAAAAGUAAUAAGGUGGAAGAUUUCUUUUCCUCAUACUUAUUCUUAAGUCUCCCAGCUUCUGCAUCCAUGGGCUGAUCCAACUUCUGAUCCAAAACCCAGAUUUUACUUUUAUAACCAGAUUCUUCAUUAUCACCCUUUCCUUUUGAAGCCAUUUUUCAAAUAACCCAAAUGAAAUGUCUAUAAGCCUAACCAAAAACCAGGGUUUAAACCUUCAAAUCAACGCCAAUGAAAUUAUUAGACUAAAAUUCAACAAGAACCCAAAAUAACCCAGUAAAGAUGCAUACUAACAGUGAAGCACAAAGAACAGUGAUACGGGUGAGAAUCUGAGAAACUGGUCUCUUGACAGUCAACAGUGAUGAGUAAUGAGUUGUGAAUAGGUCCAUGCUGAUCCGUACUUCCACAGUAGUCA